rnacentral:rRNA from 1 species
AAUAGAUACCCCGGUAGUCCACGCCGUAAACUAUGGAUGCUAGCUGUAAGAAGUAUCGACCCUUCUUGUAGCGAAGCUAACGCGUUAAGCAUCCCGCCUGUGGAGUACGGUCGCAAGACUAAAACAUAAAGGAAUUGACGGGGACCCGCACAAGCGGUGGAGCGUGUUGUUUAAUUCGAUGGUAAGCGAAGAACCUUACCCAGGCUUGACAUCCUUGGAAGGCCUCCGAAAGGAGACUGUGUCUUCGGAAACCAAGUGACAGGUGAUGCAUGGCCGUCGUCAGCUCGUGUCGUGAGAUGUUUGGUUAAGUCCAUCAACGAGCGCAACCCUUAUGAAUAGUUGUAUUUUUCUAUUCAGACUGCCCUGGCAACAGGGAGAAGGGGGGAUGAUGUCAGGUCAGUAUUUCCCUUACGUCUGGGGCUACAAACACGCUACAAUGGCCGGUACAAAGGGCAGCCAACCCGCGAGGGGAGCAAAUCCCAUCAAAGCCGGUCUCAGUUCGGAUAGCAGGCUGAAACUCGCCUGCUUGAAGUCGGAAUCGCU